AUUGAACGCUGGCGGAAUGCUUUACACAUGCAAGUCGAGCGGCAGCGCGGGGCAACCUGGCGGCGAGCGGCGAACGGGUGAGUAAUACAUCGGAACGUGCCUAGUAGUGGGGGAUAACUACUCGAAAGAGUAGCUAAUACCGCAUGAGAUCUACGGAUGAAAGCAGGGGACCUUCGGGCCUUGUGCUACUAGAGCGGCUGAUGGCAGAUUAGGUAGUUGGUGGGGUAAAGGCUUACCAAGCCUGCGAUCUGUAGCUGGUCUGAGAGGACGACCAGCCACACUGGGACUGAGACACGGCCCAGACUCCUACGGGAGGCAGCAGUGGGGAAUUUUGGACAAUGGGGGCAACCCUGAUCCAGCGACGCCGCGUGUGUGAAGAAGGCCUGCGGGUUGUAAAGCACUUUUAGUGGGGAGGAAGGUCUGCGACCUAACACGUCGUGGAAUUGACUUAACCCACAGAAAAGCACCGGCUAACUCUGUGCCAGCAGCCCGG
rnacentral:rRNA from 1 species